rnacentral:rRNA from 1 species
UUUAGAGGAAGUAAAAGUCGUAACAAGGUCUCCGUAGGUGAACCUGCGGAGGGAUCAUUACACAAAUAUGAAGGCGGGCUGGAACCUCUCGGGGUUACAGCCUUGCUGAAUUAUUCACCCUUGUCUUUUGCGUACUUCUUGUUUCCUUGGUGGGUUCGCCCACCACUAGGACAAACAUAAACCUUUUGUAAUUGCAAUCAGCGUCAGUAACAAAUUAAUAAUUACAACUUUCAACAACGGAUCUCUUGGUUCUGGCAUCGAUGAAGAACGCAGCGAAAUGCGAUAAGUAGUGUGAAUUGCAGAAUUCAGUGAAUCAUCGAAUCUUUGAACGCACAUUGCGCCCUUUGGUAUUCCAUGGGGCAUGCCUGUUCGAGCGUCAUUUGUACCUUCAAGCUAUGCUUGGUGUUGGGUGUUUGUCUCGCCUUUUGCGUGUAGACUCGCCUCAAAACGAUUGGCAGCCGGCGUAUUGAUUUCGGAGCGCAGUACAUCUCGCGCUUUGCAGCCAAACGACGACGUCCAAAAAGCACAUUUUUUACACUCUUGACCUCGGAUCAGGUAGGGAUACCCGCUGAACUUAAGCAUAUCAAUAAG